UACGGGGGGGGCAAGCGUUGUUCGGAAUUACUGGGCGUAAAGGGCUCGUAGGCGGCCAACUAAGUCAGACGUGAAAUCCCUCGGCUUAACCGGGGAACUGCGUCUGAUACUGGAUGGCUUGAGUUUGGGAGAGGGAUGCGGAAUUCCAGGUGUAGCGGUGAAAUGCGUAGAUAUCUGGAGGAACACCGAUGGCGAAGGCAGGUCUCUGGGCUGACACUGACGCUCAUGCACGAAAGCGUGGGGAGCAAACAGG
rnacentral:rRNA from 1 species